ACGGCUACCUUGUUACGACUUCACCCCAGUCAUCCGACCUGCCUUCGGCUGCUCCUCCCUUGCGGUUAGGUCACAGACUUCGGGCAUUUCCGACUCCCAUGGUGUGACGGGCGGUGUGUACAAGACCCGGGAACGUAUUCACCGCGGCAUUCUGAUCCGCGAUUACUAGCGAUUCCAGCUUCAUGUAGUCGGGUUGCAGACUACAAUCCGAACUGGGACGUUAUUUUUGGGAUUUGCUCCCCCUCGCGGGCUCGCUUCCCUCUGUUUACGCCAUUGUAGCACGUGUGUAGCCCAAAUCAUAAGGGGCAUGAUGAUUUGACGUCAUCCCCACCUUCCUCCGGGUUAUCCCCGGCAGUCUCUCUAGAGUGCCCAGCCUUGCCUGCUGGCUACUAAAGAUAGGGGUUGCGCUCGUUGCGGGACUUAACCCAACAUCUCACGACACGAGCUGACGACAACCAUGCACCACCUGUCUCUCCUGUCC
rnacentral:rRNA from 1 species